rnacentral:rRNA from 1 species
GGUUAAGUGACUAAGCGUACACGGUGGAUGCCUAGGCAGUCAGAGGCGAUGAAGGGCGUGCUAAUCUGCGAAAAGCGUCGGUAAGGUGAUAUGAACCGUUAUAACCGGCGAUACCCGAAUGGGGAAACCCAGUGUGUUUCGACACACUAUCAUGUCAUGAAUACAUAGUGGCAUGAGGCGAACCGGGGGAACUGAAACAUCUAAGUACCCCGA